ensembl:lncRNA
GUGUGUGUGUGUGUGUGUGUGUGUGUGUGUGUGUGUGUGUGUAAAAAGAAGAUUUCUUUUGGCUCUCAGACAAAACAGCAAUUAUGACAAUUACAGGGUGGAGCAGUGUGAUCUAGAUAACUUAUCACAACACAGACAGACAGAGAGAGAGACAGAUGGACGGGGAGAGAGAGAGAGGGAGAGAGGUUUGGAUACACACACUGAGAGUAAGACGGCGCCAGAGUGGGUGAGUGUUGCUUCUGUCUGUUUAUUCAGUUCAGUAUAACUAUUUAAACGGCUGUAAGAGCAACUACACACACACACACACACACACACACACGGACAGAGAGUACCAUUAGAGAGCAUAUGGCUGUUUAAAUAAAGGUUAAUGUGAGCGAGAGAUGAACACGGGGUCGAGUCGUGUGUCUGCGUCUCUGUCUGUCUGUCCGUGGCGUGACUGCUGAAGAUCCUGAUUUCUGAUUGGUCAGCAGGAAUGACUGCGUCAGUGCGGCGUGGCGUGGAGGCGAUCAGCCUGUGGCGCUGCUGAGGUGUUCUGGAGGUCCAGGUUGCUUUGAUAGCGGUCUUCAGCUCGUCUGUAUCGUCGGGUCUGGUGUCUCUCGUAGAUUCUCUAUGGGGUUCGGGUCAGGCGAGGCGGCUGGACAGUAAAGCACAGUAAUACCACGGUCAGUAAACCGGUUACUAGAGGUUUUGGCACUGUGGGCAGGUGCAGAGUUCUGCUGGAGAAGGAAAUCAGCGUCUCCAUAAAACUCGUCAGCAGAUGGAAGUAUCUAAAAUCUCCUGGUAGACGCUGCGUCAACUCUUGACUUGAGAAAACACACUGGACCGACACCAGCAGAUGACAUGACACCUCAAAUCAUCACCGACUGUGGAAACUUCACACUGGACUCCAAGCAGCUCGGAUUCUGUUCCUCUCCACUCUUCCUCCAGACUCCGGAACCUUGAUUUCCAAAUGUACUUUCAUCUUCCCCGUGGUUGUGUGUGUACUGACCCAGACUGCGAGAUUAAAGACUCAGGAAACCUUUGCAGGUGUUUUAAGUUAAUUUGCUGAUCAGAGUCUUCUCAGGUCGACGUUUCUGUAUUAUAAAUUCUCUAUUAUAAUAUUUUCAGAUGCUGGAUGUUUGAUUUCCGUGCGCUGUAAGCCGUAAUCAUCGAGAUUAAAAUAAAACAAGGCUCGAAAUAUUUCACUGUGUGUAAUGAACCCGGAAAAUAUGAAAUUUCCACUUUUUGAAUUAAAUUACACAUAAAAUUGAACAUUUCCACGAUUUUCUAAUUUUUUGAGAUGCAUCUGUACAAUAUACAAUAUAAACUGAGCACGAAAUAUUUUGGACGAUAUUUUCCCCCUAUGUCUGGAGACUUGUGGGACACUUUACAACCAGUCACACGUUUAAUCCUGGUUCUACGUCACUGAUGCUUCUGUUAUACACAUUUGUCGGACUGUAACCAUGACUACAAGCAUAAAUACCUGUUUUAGGUACGACCCGUAUUUCCACAGUGCUGUAGUAUUCAUUCACGCCACUGAGAACCGAAAGUUUAUAUAAUUAUAUAUAUGUUUAUGUAAUAUAUCCAGUGUGUGUAGUGUUUGUGUGGGAGAUAAACAGUGUGUAAAUACUGCAGAACAGAACAUCAGCUGAAAAACAGUCAGUAAAGUGAAAUAUUAUAAACUGCACUGUCGGCUAGAAAUGAGAAGAUUAGCUACAUAAAAU